UAAGAUUGAAGACUUGGUAGACCCAACAUAUACAUUGCUGAACUUCUUGUCCUAAAGCCUAAAUAACAAUAACAGAUGGAGACUAACUGGUAAGCUCAAAGUUUGGUGAUAAUUCAAGCUUUUCUUAUAAUCAAUGUUUAUGAUGUGAAAAAAAGUCUGCACUCAAGUGUCCGGUAUGCAUUAAUAAGUUACUGAAUAUGUUUAAGACGGAACAAACGUUAUGCCAUUGUUAAUGUUCAUUAAAAUGUGGCAUUCCGAGAAGGUGAGAAGUUAAUUUUUGGUGAUGGCUUCUGGAAGUAGAUGGAAUGAAUAGUCCUGAGGGUAUUCUAUUACCAGAGAGAAGGCUACUGAGGAGAUAAGUUUAACUUCCAUGAUUCUGGAAAUCUCAAGUGAAAAAAACUUUAAAAAUGACAAAUUCAGGAAAUAUUUACUAUUUCAAACAAAACACUGACUUUCCAUUACUUUUGCCUGGCAGAGAAGUGAAAAUAUUGAUCUCAGAGGAGAUAGCUUUUUGUUUAGGAAAAUAUUCUGAUAUGCUUUUUUUUUUUUUUUUUUUUUUUUUUUUGUAAACGAUGCCCCUGCUAUCUUAAAAGAUAGGAUGAAAAAAGAGAGAGAGAGAGAGCUAAGCUGCACUACAUAAAAAGUUAACUGGACUUUGGGAACUGGUCACUGAUGCCUCACUGGUGGUUGGAGAGGGCUGAGCAACUUGGCAAGAGGCUGGCAAGAAGCCUAGAAAGAAAAGACAGCCAUGCAGACAUCCAGGUGGAGUGGAUAACUGAGGGGCUUUUAAGAGUAGUGGUGAUUAAUAUUCAGUUGUCAAUGUUUCCUAUUCUGAGCUGUGCUGAAACCAUUCACUUCUAUCUUUAAAGCUUUAGUUAAGAUCUGCCCAGAGAUGUGUUGAGUGUUGGGAGAGAGUAGAGCAGUGCUUAAGUCUGGGUCAAAGUAGUGUAGAAAGAGGAUGUUGGUUAUGGGAGCUGAGAUAGAUAAUUUAGGGCAGGCUGCCCAAUGACUGACCCUGGAGAACAACAGCCUUCCCUUGGGAAUGCUCAAAGGUUUCAGGAAGAGUGUGGAGGACAUGGGUAGAGGCUUGAGCCAUUUCAUUUGGAUAGUGAAGAAAAGGGAAAUAUCAGGCUCCUGACAUGCAGGUAAAUUUUAGCCAUGCUGAGACAGCUGGAUGAACAGAAUGAUGACAACAUAUCUAUCCAUCCGUCCAUCCAUCCAUCCAUCUGCUAAUUGAUUCAAUCAUUCGUCAUUCAGUAAGUACCAAGAACCUAUUAUAUGUGAAUCACUACAUUACGAGAGACACAGUUUCUUUUGUCCAGAUUUCAAUUUUAAGUAUUAAUGUAUACACAAAGCACAUUAAAGAAAUAAAACCCAAAGCUUCAAGGAUGAGGUUGACUUUAUAUGGGCCUCGGAGAAUGACUUACAUUUGAAUAAGAAUCAAAUGAGAGAUUCCAACAUGGAUACCCUGGGAAGUCACUCUCCCCAGGCUCUGUCUAAAUGGCAUAGGGGAGCAUAGGGUCCCAUCCCAGGAUGUACUGUCCUUUGCCACAAGUUAGAGAUGAAGCUGGGUCUGGUGUCUGUGCCUGAAUAUUCCUACAGCUUCUGAGUCCUGUGGACAAUGACAGAGGAGACAGACCAUGCAGGAAAUUUGUCUAGUAUAAAAUAAAACUAAAAGAAAGAAUUAAAGGAGGGAAGAAUAACAUUCACAGCAACUCUUUAUAUUUAGAUACUAUUUUGUAAUUUAUCAUGAAAUUUCAUGUAUAAUAGCUGAUCUAUCAUCACAACUGCCCUUUGAGUAGGUAUUAUUAUUCUUAUCUCUCAGAAGACAAAACUGAAGAUCAUAGUUUGAGCGACGUGUUCCAAAAACAUAAAAUUAGACCAUGUGAAUAAUUCAAUGAUCAGAGUAAUUGUUACUAGUUUUCUCUCAGAUCUGAAAAUAUUCCCUGACUUGCUCAUCAUUUUAAUAGUUUAUAUUAAAAGUAGAGGACAUAUAAUGAAAUUUAAACUAAUAAAAGAUAGAAAUAAUGAAAGAUUACUGAUUAAAUCAUUCAUUCUUCAUCUGAAUAGCCAAUUCCCCAUCUUAUAUGAUACAAUUCUCAAAAAUGUUAUGGUCAUGUCAUUUUUCUGGGAUGCAUCACAUAAACGAGAAGAUACUUUAGAGAGUAUUUGGGUGUUGAUAAAUGCAUCUAUUGCAUACCACCUCUGCUUAUUCCUAUCCUAACAUUAUGAACAGUGCUAAAGAAAUACUAACUAUAGUCUCUGCCCCAAAGAAGCUUCUCAUCUUCUAUGUAGAAGUUUUCUCCUUUCAUGAAAGAACUGUGAUGACUUUAACUUCCACCUAAGAGCUCAAACAUGGAAACAUUUUACCAAGUUAAAAAUAAGCAAUUUCUAACAUUCAUUAAUUACACCAGGAUGAGUUAUCAAGAAGAAAAGUAAUUGGCAUAAGCAUUUUCUUUCCCUACUCCCAUUCUGGGUAGAAGUUAGCACUGUAUCUCUAAAUGUUCAAGUUGUCCUUACUCCCAUGUCUGUAGGGGAAAUGGAAACUUCCUUUCAUGACUUUAUCCUCCUCAUCCCACUCUCCUUCGGACUUUGAGUGUCAUUAAGUUGGGUAAGGAGAGGCAGAACUUUGGCGAUUUGGGGGUGAAGACGUAGGAACAACUGGAUCCACCAGAAAGACAGAGAUUCCUUAGAAUUCCUCCAGCACAGAGAAGCCAUAGACUUUCCAGCAAUGGGCCACAUUGUGGGCCACGCUCCAGUGAGGAACUGCUAUGGGGUGCUGGGAGGGAGACACUGGACACAUGCACAGCACUGACCUUGAAGGCAGCAAUGAGUUUCCCAAUGGGCGUGACCAUAGCCAGUU
rnacentral:lncRNA from 1 species